UACAGAGGGGGCGAGCGUUAUUCGGAAUUAUUGGGCGUAAAGGGCGCGUAGGCGGCCCGGUAAGUCGAAGGUGAAAUCCCCGAGCUCAACUUGGGAACUGCCUUCGAUACUGCCAGGCUUGAGUCCGGGAGGGGAGAGUGGAAUUCCCAGUGUAGCGGUGAAAUGCGUAGAUAUUGGGAGGAACACCGGUGGCGAAGGCGGCUCUCUGGACCGGUUCUGACGCUGAGGCGCGAAAGCGUGGGUAGCAAACAGGAUUAGAAACCCUUGUAGU
rnacentral:rRNA from 1 species